rnacentral:lncRNA from 1 species
GACAAAGAUGGCGUCCAAUUGUCAAAUUUUAAUGUUUUCAUAAAUCAAUCGGGGGAAAAGAAAGGCAGAUGACGAUGAUGAUAAAGAAAAUACUAGACCAAAUAAGUUAAAUAAAAUUGAUAGUAAUGUUGAAGUUGUGGAAAUUGAACAAAAAUCAACUAAACAACGGAAAAGAUACGCAAGUGAAGACAAAUAUGAGCAAGACUUCAAAUGACUUAUAGUCACAGAGGAAGGAUACUACUGUUCUGUGUGCCAAAAAUACGGCACAAAAGCAAGAAACAGGACAGAAACCUGGAUCGAAAGGCCUUAAAUCCAUGCUGAUGCAUAAAAUUGUAAAAGAAGAGAUAAAAGAGAUAAAUUUUUGAAAAAAUAAAAUCAAAGAAUAUUUGACAAUUAAUAUGACUACUUCUAUUUAUGUUUGUUCAACUCCAUUAAAUGUAAAUAUUAUACUAAUCUUUAUUUCUGUGACCCCCACGUGUACCCACAG